rnacentral:tmRNA from 1 species
GGGGCUGACCGGUUUUGACAGCGGGCAGGGUCUUGAUGUAAGCAUGCAGAGCAUUGUGUGGGCGCUCUUUAAUAUGAACACUCGAAAAUUAAUUGGCAAUAAUAGCUACAGACUCGCUGCGUAGUUUUACCGAGUAAAACACCUUAAUCGGGCGGCUCAAGGUCAGUCGUCCGACGAGUACUCCGCCGGAAGCUCCGCCUUACGGUUUUCGGCUCACGGAGUAUCAUCCCAGUGGGGCUGGUCACGGCGACGUCUCUAAACCGUGACAAGAGAACAGAGACUACGAGUUCGGGCGGUUAGUCCUUGACCUAUCCCGUUCUCCGACAAUCAAAUAAGGACUAAGCAUGUAGAAAGCGUCCGGGUCCCCGUUUGGACGAGAGUUCGAUUCUCUCCAGCUCCACCU